rnacentral:snRNA from 1 species
GGGUGUGAGGGCACUCUGGCUGCAACACCUGUCACCCCACUGGCGGCCAGGGUGGAUCUGGCCGAUCUGGCUGGCUGGCUGGGUGAGGGUCCCCUUCCUCGCUCACUGCUCACUGCUCCAUGAGCGUCCCUCCCAUAGCCGCAAGCUUGGUCGACCUUCCCCCAAAUACAGACGGACAGACAGACCUCCAAA